rnacentral:rRNA from 1 species
UACAGAGACUGCAAGCGUUAUUCGGAUUCACUGGGCGUAAAGGGUGCGCAGGCGGUCGGGUGUGUCAGAUGUAAAAUCCCGAGGCUCAACCUCGGAACUGCGUCUGAAACUACUCGACUAGAGUACUGGAGAGGGUAACGGAAUUCACGGUGUAGCAGUGAAAUGCGUAGAUAUCGUGAGGAACACCAGAGGCGAAGGCGGUUACCUGGACAGUUACUGACGCUCAGGCACGAAAGCAUGGGGAGCAAAAGGG